rnacentral:lncRNA from 1 species
UUUUACAUAUCGUCCAAUCUUUGACUCUAGCCAAAUAUAUGCUUUAUGCCUUACUGCUAUCGUAGUUAAUCCUUACACUUAUCUCAACAUAUAGAUUAGAUCAAAUAUUUUACCAAUUGAUUUCAUCAUCAAAAUAUGAGAUUUAACAAUCUCUCCCUUUUUGAUGAUGACAACCAAUUGAUGACGGAGUUAACAUUUAACUCCC